CUCAUGUCAACACGUCUUAAACAUAUAUACUUUACACGUAGCAAGAGUAGCAUUGGGUAGUUAACUACCUGCUUAGUUAGCCAACUACCUAACGCUAUUAUAAAAGUGUCUAACAACAAAAGUGACAUUAGUUAAACCUCAACUAUAAACACCGUUUAAGGAAACAUGUAAUGUAGAGAAUUGACAUCAAAUGAAACACAUAGCGGAGUAACGUAGUGUUUGCAUUUCACGUUAGCUAACGUUUCUUUGUCGGUUAAUUUACGUUUUCUUACCUUCGUAGUUGUGUAUAUAUGAUGCAGCAUAUAACUUAAAUCCUUUAUCUAACAUGCUGACGGGGUUUGUCGUCACUCUGUAAAUCCGAUGAACAUCAGUGAUGUUCAAAUUUGGGAGCUCUUGUAGGACGAGUGCAAACGCGGAGGUCGGAUUAUGAAUGAGUGGGAGGAGUUGCGCUAUUAGAAGGAAGAUUACAUGACGCGUCAAAAGGCUGAGUGCUUUGAAGUUCAGCCGUGCUUUGAAGUGCGGCCGUUAGGUCACGCCUACUGAGGGCAUAAAUAGAAGUCAAAAACAGCAUUAGUGUGUGUUAGUCUGUUCCUCUGGCUUUGCGUUUCUUAACGUUUUGUCCAUUUCCAUCAGCAUCGGCGGAGCCUUGGGCAUACGCUGUGCGAUUUUUUCAGUGGCGUUAUUCAGCGCCUGCUCAAACUGUACGAUUGACUCGCAGGGGUUAGAAGUUCGUAGGUCACGAUGCAGGGUCUCACACUAUACGGCCCGAUGCUCUGAUGCGACCUGAGUGCUCACACUAAGCAUCAAUCUGUCCCUCUCUCUCCCUCUCUGUCUUUCACUCACACAGACACACACACCACCACCAUCAACUGUGCUAAAUUGCUAAUGAAAAAUAUUGAUCAGGCAGCUGUGAUUGAGCAGCAAUGUCCAUUCAAAUAUUUUCACGGUUGUUGUGGUCGUGAUAAUUUUGUGAGGAGACAUCGAAAAGGCUCGGAAGAGCUUGCAAAAGUUCUACAAGUUGUGCUUUCAUCGCUUGUGUCCAGAUCACAUGCUGCACUACUGUGCUGCUCCGUCUUUUCGCCUUCAUUUCUGUGUUUGCGCGUGCGCAGUGUGAGAGGCUGCA
ensembl:lncRNA